AACACUGAGCACUGGUCUGAAGAGAGUACAGAACAACAUCAAUUUUCUGAGUUGCCUUCCUCACUAGGGUCGCAGGCGUGCUGGAGCCUAUCCCAGCUGUCAUCGGGCAGGAGGCGGGGUACACCCUGAACUGGUUGCCAGCCAAUCGCAGGGUACAGAACAACAUAAAGGAUGCAGUGCAUGGGUGUGAGUUAUCUUUGGUUUAAAAGAAUCUGGAACCAUGCAUUUCAACUUUCUUUCGGUAUCAUUGAGCAACCAUUACAUUACUUGACCAUAGAUGACACCUUUUGAAUGCAAGUUGCGACCCCUGGAGGGAUUUAUGAUCCAUUACACAAACGUUUGGAAAAAUAAUGGCUGGUCAUAUUAGUUACACGUGCACAUUGUAAAAAGUAGAACUAGUGUCAGGUUUUGCCACCCUUAGAUGAGUAUUAAUUUGACUAACAUAUAACUGUAAUUUAAUUAGUGUGUACAACUAAUUUUAGUCAUCGUCUGAUGAACAGACAAGCUUCCGUUCCAAAGGCAGGUUCAUAACACAAUACGGCUGAUUUUAAAUAAAUUUGCUUUGCUUUAACUUUGCUUUGUGCAUUUAAUCCCACCGAGACCAUCUUUUGAUGACGCAAAGUGUUGGUGCAUGCUGUGACAGCACAUAGUAUACAACGUUCAUGAGAAAAAAAAGGUGAAAAUAAACGCACCCAUCCUCAUAAACACACAUCCAUUAAAAUGGUAGAGCAAAAGUCCUGAGACACACAUCUUAAUGAAUCAAUCAGGGGUUACGCUAAAUCAAUUAUUCCCACCUGAAUCAAAAUCUUUUACCUUGCCAAGACAUGGACAUUAUGCUUGGGGAAGGUCAUUUUCUAUCUUUUCUCAAUGUGCCCCAUUACACAAAGCACACCCACAAGACUGUGUUUAAAGGUAGAGUUUGCAGCUUAAAAAAAAUCAAACACUUUUUGUUAGGGAUGUCCCGAUACAACUUUCACUUCCCAUACAAUACCGAUAGUGCAACCUUGAGUAGUAUUGGCUGAUACUGAUAUUGAUCAGAUACAAUAUCAGCACAAAUCAUACAUACUUGUGUUACUUAUUUUGUAGUAUGGAGUUUUAGAAUAGUUUUCAAUCAAAUAAUAAUAUGCAAACAGAACAAUAGUCAGCAACAGCAGAUAUGAGGAAAAACGGACCCAUUUAUUAAUAACUAAUUGGUUACAUAAAGUUAAACCUUAAACAUAAUAUCCUACAAUUAAAUGAAACAAAUACAAAAAUAGAAAUUCCUGAAAAAUAAUCUCUAUAAUUCAAAUGUAAACAAAAAUAUAUUUUAAAGUGCAAAAUAAGCACUAUGUUUAAAUUAAACAUAAGCAUUUUCUGCAAUUGAGUAGAAUAAAAAAUUUUAAAAAAUACAAUAGAAGUGCUAGAGCAAAGUCUGGACGGGACUGCUUGUAUCGGAAUGCUUUAUCGGAGAUUUUAGAUGCAGUCCAUAUAAUUCAAUACUUGCUUUUUGCUGAUAUCUGAUCGAUAACGAUCGGGAAACCCCUACUAUAUUUAAACUGACCUGACAGUAGAAUAUUAAUAAAUGAUACCUUGAAAAAUCACUCCUCUGUGUCCCUAUCUAAUGCCCCUAUUUAAAAUGUUAUUAUUCUUUUACAACUGUGCACGGCGGGACAAGAAUAGCCAAUCAGAGAGAGUAGUGACUGGAGGCGUGACCGAAUAGUCUGUCAAUCAUUUGCACACACCCAUCAUGUACACGGAGGCUCGCGGGGAAGUACCAAAGGCUCUCGCAGAGUAGACUAUUAUAGUUUCUUAUUUAACUCCGGUUAGCAACAAAAGUUAAAAAGAAGGUAGUGCACAGCUCUUGACUUCAAAUCAAGGGUAAAGACAUGUAACAUUGGUGUGUGUUGGGUUCAUUGGCUGUAGUGGUACACUCGCCUGACUUUGGUGCGGGCAGCGUGGGUUCAGUUCCCACUCAGUGACGGUGUGAAUGUGAGUGUGAAUGGUUGUCCGUGUCUAUAUGUUCCCUGUGACUGACUGGCGACCAGUUCAGGGUGUAGUCCGCCUUUCGCCCGAAGUCAGCUGGGAUAGGCUCCAGUGUCCCGUGACCCUAACCAGGAUAAGCGGUGUUGAAAAUGGAUGGAUGGAUGGGUUCAUGGUCAGUGGGUGGGUCGUCACUGACUUGUGAAAUAUGCCAGAGAUGAAGUUCUGCAUAGUCACACCAUUCACAAACAACACACUCCUCUGCUUCACUGUCGCUCCAGCACUCGGAGGGUGAAGUCACACUUUCACAUCCCAAAA